GAUGAAGAACGUAGCAAAAUGCGAUACUUGGUGUGAAUUGCAGAAUCCCGUGAACCAUCGAGUUUUUGAACGCAAGUUGCGCCCGAAGCCUUUUGGCCGAGGGCACGUCUGCCUGGGCGUCACGCAUCGUGUCGCCCCCCACAAAUUCUCCGUCAGGGGAGCUUGUGUUUCGGGGGCGGAUACUGGUCUCCCGUGCUCAUGGCGCGGUUGGCCGAAAUAGGAGUCCCUUCGAUGGACGCACGAACUAGUGGUGGUCGUAAAAACCCUCGUCUUUUGUUUCGUGCCGUUAGUCGCGAGGGAAGCUCUUCAAAAACCCCAACGCGUCGUCUCUUGACGGCGCUUCGACCGCGACCCAGGUCAGGCGGGACUACCCGCUGAGUUUAAGCAUAUCAAUAAGGGAGGA
rnacentral:misc_RNA from 1 species